rnacentral:sRNA from 1 species
GGCCCACGGUUCUCAGCACUCAAACGAAUUGUAACACAUUUACCCUUUCGUUACCAAUCCUGUGGUUGGACCUCCAGCCAAUGAGAAGCAGCCUCUAUAAAAUCCCUUGGUUUUUUCAUCUUCAGCUUCUUUCCUGCCUCUGAUGACAUCAAUUGCAAUGGACUCCAACAGUAACCGGCCGGACUCUUUUGAGUCCGACGAGACCUAUGUUCUCGUAACAGGCACAAACAGCGGCCUUGGGUUCUCCAUCUGUUGUCGCACAAUUGACGAAUUCCUCACAACACGCCCAGAAUCCAAGUGCCUAACACUUCUCUUUACCACCCGCAGCGCCAAAAAGAGUGCCGAAACCCUCUCCCUCCUCCAAGCACACCUUAAUAACUCUGCUGCCAAAUACGCAACGUCCAAGAACCGCGUCACGCUCAAACCGGAAAAUGUUGACCUGGCCAAUUUGCUGUCGGUGCGUGCAUUGUCACGUCGGUUGCGGGCCUCACUCCCGAAGCUGGACGCCGUCAUCCUGAAUGCUGGCACUGCUGGGUUCACCGGCAUCAAUCUCUUCAAGGCGUUAUAUCUUACCUUGACAGACCUCGUGAACACAGUCACAUACCCGUCGGCAUUUACACUCACCUGUUCAGGGGUUCUCGUCAAAAAGCAAACCUCGCAGCCCGAUGAGCCUCCGCUGGGAGACAUCUUUUGCUCGAAUGUGUUUGGACACUACAUGCUCAAUCAUGCAUUGAUGCCCCUUCUUUCCGCCUCUGAAACCUCUCCGGGUCGCAUCAUCUGGAUAUCCAGCAUCGAAGCAACAAGCAAACAUUUCGAUCUCUCAGACUUCCAAGCGCUCAAUACCCGAUCCGCCUACCAGGCUUCCAAGCACCUUACGGACGUCCUCGCUCUGACCUCAGAGCUCCCCAGCUCGUCGCCGUGGGUUGACACCUUCUUAUCCGCGUCGAAAACUACCACUGCUACGAAACUACAGCAGAAUGGAACCGAACACCACGCCCCUACCAGCUCACGCCCAAAACCGAGCAUUUACGUCGCCCACCCAGGCAUCUGUGGCACGGCCAUCAUGCCCCUCGUUUUCCCCCUCUUCUACGCCAUGAUCGCUGUAUUCUGGCUCGCCCGCAUGUUCGGGUCGCCCUGGCACACUAUCUCAACCUACAGUGGCGCCUACGCGCCCGUCUGGCUAGCGCUCUCGCCCAAGCCUGUCUUGGAUGCGGCUGAGGAUGUCUAUGCGCGUCUAGGUGGUGGGAAACCAAAAUGGGGAUCAUCCUGUGACAGACUGGGUCGGAUAAGCGCCGUGUGUACGGAGGUGGAUGGUUGGGGUUAUAGCGGCGUGGUUGGUCCUGCUGUGUUGGAGGAGGACAAGAGGCGGAGGAGGAAGGUGGGGGCAAAAGAUUUGACGGC